GGUCAAUAUUUAUAGUGUUUUGAAAGCACUUUUAAAGUAUGUGUUGUACUUGUUGAUUU
rnacentral:tRNA from 1 species